rnacentral:siRNA from 1 species
GCUGGCGGUUGCGGCAGCGGCUGC